rnacentral:misc_RNA from 1 species
GAUGAAGAACGUAGCGAAAUGCGUUAAGUAAUGUGAAUUGCAGAAUUCAGUGAAUCAUCGAAUCUUUGAACGCACAUUGCGCCCUCUGGUAUUCCGGGGGGCAUGCCUGUUCGAGCGUCAUUAUAACCACUCAAGCUCUCGCUUGGUAUUGGGGCUCGCGGUUCCGCGGCCCCUAAAAUCAGUGGCGGUGCCUGUCGGCUCUACGCGUAGUAAUACUCCUCGCGAUUGAGUCCGGUAGGUCUACUUGCCAGCAACCCCCAAUUUUUACAGGUUGACCUCGGAUCAGGUAGGGAUACCCGCUGAACUUAAGCAUAUCAAUAAGCGGAGGA